UGGUGUUUUGAGCCCUCACCGGCGCCUUCCAGGCAGCGGCUGCCUGGAAGGCGCCGGAAGGUGGUCCCGCCCCCCAAAACUCUGAUCCAAUCAAUGCGCUACCCCCACUUGGAGCGGAGCGCAUAUUCAAAUCCACUUUUUGGAGCGCAUUGCAUAUUCAAACCCGCGCAUUUGGAGCCAAACCCACUUGGAGCGCAUUUGGAGCGCAUUUAACCCACUUGGUUCAACAAUUUCAAAGUUCAUGAAGAAAUGGCGCCCAGGAAGGUAGGAUGGAAGCGGAAGGCCCUGCAGGUGUCAAAAGGUGGUAAGUUAUUCUUUAUCUUGCCAUCUGGACUCGAGUACUACAACACUAGUUCAUCUCCUCAUAUAGCAAAUUUGGUUACUUCUUGUUACUUUAUAGGACCAUCUGCAAAGAUCGCAAUUUUCCACCAGUCACCACUGGUUGGUGG